CGUGAACCCGGGAGGCGGAGCUUGCAGUGAGCCGAGAUUGCGCCACUGCACUCCCGCCUGGGCCACAGAGCAAGACUCCGUCUCAAAAAAAAAAAGUAUCUUUAAUUUUUGGAGUGUAUUGAAGCUCUUGUGGGUUGAAGAGGUGGAGCUGAAGGAUGUGGGAUGGAGGCAGCCUGGCUUAGUUGUUGGGUGGUUAGGGGGUUGCGAAGCGGAGGAGGGUCUGGGAGGCUGGUUGGCUCCACAGCUGUUUCACAGACAUUUUGUUUAAUUCUUAGAGCAAUUUUGUAAAAUCAGUGUCAUCAUUCCCCUUUAACCGUUGGAAGACAUGAGUCUGAGUUGAAGUUAAAGAGAAGCUUCUGAUUCUAAGUCAAGUCUCUCUCUGUUGCCUUCCUCCGGGCAGGAGGGCUGUGAUGUAUCCUGGCGAGCCUGGGGGCGAUCCAGUCUUAGGAGGUGGGAGGCCUGCAUUGCAGAGAGCAGAGGUGAAUGGGCCUCCCAGGUUGAGCUUGUGAUGGGCAAGUAGACUGGCACGGGAUGAGGUUGGCAGUGGGGAGAGGUAGGAUGCAGUGCGGGGAAAUGGGCCUUUCCACCUGAGAAAGGCGAGUGUGUCUGCGUUUGAUAAUCCUUUGAUAUUUGCGUAUCUGUUAUUUUCAAGAAUCACAUUUCACAUAGAAAGCCAUGUGACAGUUUUUAAAUUAAAAAAAAAAAAAGGUAGAAAUUCCAGAGAUCUUGUCUUAGGUAUUUACUGCCAGCUACAAACAAACCCCUUUUGAAUUUACUUAACAAGGAAUUUAAUAAAAGUAGCUCUGGCAUUCAGCCGCAGCCCUGCCCACAUUCCUGUUAGCUGAGGUCACCUGACUCUGCUUGUCGUUUUUGCACAGGCAGACGUGUGCAUUCUGGAGAGCAGGGAGUGAGUGUAAAGUUUAGGCUGCGUCAGGAUGCUGACUCCUCAGAAGUGUAACUUCGGCACUAUCCAGCCUGUGGGUGGAAUGGCAAUAGCGGAGAAUGGGAACUUCCUACUGGAGCUGUUUACGGUGACAGCCCAGGAUUUGUGCCACACUUGCUUCCUUCAUAUGCUGGCUUCAGGUUUCUGAUAGAUGAAUGGCACAGCUAUGGGCAAGCUCUGCAUUUCCCCUCCUCUCCUUUUUCUCAUCGUGGUUUGUACUUGCCUCUCAGCACCCAUCACACUGGAUGUAACUACAGGCAUGUCUCUCCUGUUUGACUGUAAACUCCUUGCUGGACACAUAUCUCAGGAGUCCUUACAGCCAUUUCAGUGCUGUUGCAAAGUGGAUAUUUAAUAAAUAUUUGUUGAAGGAAGUCUGUUU
rnacentral:lncRNA from 10 species